AUGCAAAAUGCAACUCUAAAAACCUCUAGGCAUAUGGAAAACCCAAACUGGGAAUCCCUUGUCACUGAAGUAGGAGGAAAAAUGAUUAUCAUCUCAGACUUUUUUCUACCAUUUAAGUUACUGCAUCUGCAUCACAACACCAGCAAUUCAUAUGGCAUCAUUAUAUAUUGAUUGAAAAAAUGAGUGAAGCAUUAGGAAUAUGGGAAUGAUCUUGGCUCACAGGAAAUUUCAUUAAUCUCUACAGCAGAGGGACCUUGUAGAAAGCAGCAGAUUGAAAGUGAACUGAAGGCUAGGAGCUUGAAGAAUUACCACAAAUGAAU
rnacentral:lncRNA from 1 species